rnacentral:rRNA from 1 species
CUAUACUGCAAGUCGAGCGGAUCUAGAAGGGAGCUUGCUCCCGACUAGAUUAGCGGCGGACGGGUGAGUAACACGUAGGCAACCUGCCUGCAAGCUCGGGAUAACAUUCGGAAACGGAUGCUAAUACCGGAUACGCAGCAUGAUCGCAUGAUCGAGCUGAGAAAGGCGGAGCAAUCUGCCGCUUGCAGAUGGGCCUGCGGCGCAUUAGCUAGUUGGUGAGGUAACGGCUCACCAAGGCGACGAUGCGUAGCCGACCUGAGAGGGUGAUCGGCCACACUGGGACUGAGACACGGCCCAGACUCCUACGGGAGGCAGCAGUAGGGAAUCUUCCGCAAUGGACGAAAGUCUGACGGAGCAACGCCGCGUGAGUGAUGAAGGUUCUCGGAUCGUAAAGCUCUGUUGCCAGGGAAGAACAGCGAGGCGAGUAACUGCGCUUCGUGUGACGGUACCUGAGAAGAAAGCCCCGGCUAACUACGUGCCAGCAGCCGCGGUAAUACGUAGGGGGCAAGCGUUGUCCGGAAUUAUUGGGCGUAAAGCGCGCGCAGGCGGCCUUGUAAGUCUGAUGUUUAAUCUCGAAGCUCAACUUCGAUUCGCAUUGGAAACUGCAAAGCUUGAGUACAGAAGAGGAAAGUGGAAUUCCACGUGUAGCGGUGAAAUGCGUAGAGAUGUGGAGGACACCAGUGGCGAAGCGACUUUCUGGGCUGUAACUGACGCUGAGCGCGAAAGCGUGGGGAGCAAC